rnacentral:rRNA from 1 species
GCGUGUGACUGCGUACCUUUUGUAUAAUGGGUCAGCGACUUAUAUUCUGUAGCAAGGUUAACCGAAUAGGGGAGCCGAAGGGAAACCGAGUCUUAACUGGGCGUUAAGUUGCAGGGUAUAGACCCGAAACCCGGUGAUCUAGCCAUGGGCAGGUUGAAGGUUGGGUAACACUAACUGGAGGACCGAACCGACUAAUGUUGAAAAAUUAGCGGAUGACUUGUGGCUGGGGGUGAAAGGCCAAUCAAACCGGGAGAUAGCUGGUUCUCCCCGAAAGCUAUUUAGGUAGCGCCUCGUGAAUUCAUCUCCGGGGGUAGAGCACUGUUUCGGCAAGGGGGUCAUCCCGACUUACCAACCCGAUGCAAACUGCGAAUACCGGAGAAUGUUAUCACGGGAGACACACGGCGGGUGCUAACGUCCGUCGUGAAGAGGGAAACAACCCAGACCGCCAGCUAAGGUCCCAAAGUCAUGGUUAAGUGGGAAACGAUGUGGGAAGGCCCAGACAGCCAGGAUGUUGGCUUAGAAGCAGCCAUCAUUUAAAGAAAGCGUAAUAGCUCACUGGUCGAGUCGGCCUGCGCGGAAGAUGUAACGGGGCUAAACCAUGCACCGAAGCUGCGGCAGCGACGCUUAUGCGUUGUUGGGUA